rnacentral:rRNA from 1 species
CCUAAUACAUGCAAGUCGAGCGGAACCUUUGGAGCUUGCUCCAUUGGUUUAGCGGCGGACGGGUGAGUAACACGUGGGCAACCUGCCCUGCAGAUCGGGAUAACUCCGGGAAACCGGUGCUAAUACCGAAUAGUUUGUUUCACCGCCUGGUGAAACACGGAAAGACGGUUUCGGCUGUCACUGCAGGAUGGGCCCGCGGCGCAUUAGCUAGUUGGUGGGGUAAUGGCCUACCAAGGCGACGAUGCGUAGCCGACCUGAGAGGGUGAUCGGCCACACUGGGACUGAGACACGGCCCAGACUCCUACGGGAGGCAGCAGUAGGGAAUCUUCCGCAAUGGACGAAAGUCUGACGGAGCAACGCCGCGUGAGUGAUGAAGGUUUUCGGAUCGUAAAACUCUGUUGUUAGGGAAGAACAAGUACCGUUCGAAUAGGGCGGUACCUUGACGGUACCUAACCAGAAAGCCACGGCUAACUACGUGCCAGCAGCCGCGGUAAUACGUAGGUGGCAAGCGUUGUCCGGAAUUAUUGGGCGUAAAGCGCGCGCAGGCGGUUUCUUAAGUCUGAUGUGAAAGCCCCCGGCUCAACCGGGGAGGGUCAUUGGAAACUGGGGAACUUGAGUGCAGAAGAGGAGAGUGGAAUUCCACGUGUAGCGGUGAAAUGCGUAGAGAUGUGGAGGAACACCAGUGGCGAAGGCGACUCUCUGGUUCUGUAACUGACGCUGAGGCGCGAAAG